UAUUAAAACAAUUUAUUUUACGUGAAAUUCGAAACAAAUGAAAUUCUUGUUUUUUUUUGUUUGGGCCCAUUUUACAACACAUUAAAUUAAAUACUUUAAUUUUUUAUGUGCUUUUUGAUUUUUUUCACUGAAAUUGUUCAAUUUUAUAUCUCGUCUCGGGUGGUCACUUUUCAUUACAUCGAUAAUUCACUAACGUUGGACGGUAACGACACCAAUUCUUAUAAAUACAGACGACUGGUAGUCUUCACAUUCAGUUGAAAAUAGACGCGAAGAAAGGAGACAACGCGCCUCUACGAUUUACUGCCACUUCCAGAAGGUAAACACCGAGGCUUUACUGCGGCAUCGUAUUACUUAGCUGGAGUCACUGAACCCGUAAUAAAAUAGAAAUAUUUUAUUAUCGGGAAAGCGCGUCAUGUCCGUCUGGGGGAGUUUAUUAGCGUUUCUCUUGGAUGAAUAAUCGCGGUCGAUAACAAACCUCGGUCGUCAUCUUUACGAUCGCCACUCCUCUUAUAUGUCUCAAGAGGUGUUAUUUAUUAACAUAAUAUAAUAUAUCCAAGUGACAUUUUCAUAUGUUGUGUCAGUUGACCGAUUUGCAAUGACGUGGUUAUAAACUAUGUCAAAAUUUAUGUUAUCCUUUUAAUAACGACUGUUCACAAUUAAGUUAAUGUAUGAAAUUUUAGUACCUGGGUGGGUUUUAAUAAAUCAUCGAAGUUGAGGUAAAUAUGGACGCUACACAAGAAGUAAAAUUGGGUCCAGUGAUAUUUAUUGAUUACGACGUUGUAUUUUGGACCAUGGAAAAAAUUGCCAAAACAUUUGUAGCUAUAAUCCGUCUGUUUGUAACUUUAUAAAUUAUUUUUUCCGCGUAAUUGUAACAUGUAGAGGAUUAAUGUAAUUAUGUAUAAAUAAAAACCUAAAACUUCGA